UGAUUUCAGACAUCACAAAAUAUGGAUUUCACAUAUUUGCACAUCAAUUUUGACAAUUCCAGAAAGAAAUUUAACUUGAUUCACAACUGAAAUAUAUUGUAAUUACACUGAAAGUGCCCAAGUUGUAUUGUUUCACAAUUCACAUCAAAUACAACUACUGAAUUCUCAUUUCACCUCCAGAAAACAAUAACUAAUUAUCUUCACAUAACAAGAACUGAAACUGAAUCCACGACAAGGAGCAGGGGAGGCCAUCUGGUAAAAAGGCAAGGGAAGUUCAAAUCAUGCACAACAAAACAAAUUCAUUUGGAAUACAGAGAGAGAUGCAAGGGGAGGUGGGCUUCAUAGCUCACCAGAGGGAUGCAGCCAGAUCCGCGGGAGAGAAAAAGGGGAAGGGAUCUGGCGGCGGC
rnacentral:lncRNA from 1 species